AAGCUGCCAUGAUCCUCCCUCUGGACCCCGUGGUCAGGGUCGCUGCAGAGAUCCUCCUUUUGGACCCCACCCACCUGAAGGGCCCAUACCUUGGUCAGGCAUCUUAGAAGGACUGCCCUGAGACAUGUCAUAAAAAGGAGAAAACAUCACAGUGCGCAGCCCCAAUUCCUGCAUUGUACAGACAGGAAACUCAGAUGCACUGCUACUCUGACUCCAAAUACUACAGCACCACAUGCUUCUCAGACUGGUGGAUGCACAGCUCCACUUCUUUGCAGAGAGGAUGCACAACAGCAGAAUAUCCGUGGCCCGACUUUCUGGAGCAUCAGUAUUACUACAAGAUUUAGAAGAAGCAAAGUUAUGUCAUUUCCGAGUCCCACAGGUCUUGAGUGCAUGCUGUGAACACUGCACUGUGCUAGGUGUCGAGGCCUCGGUUAG